UACGUAGGCAGCGAGCGUUGUUCGGAGUUACUGGGCGUAAAGCGUGCGUAGCGGUGCCAUAAGUCUGUUGUGAAAUCUCCCGGCUUAACUGGGAGGGUGCGGUGGAAACUGUGGUGCUGGAGUGUGGGAGAGGUAGGCGGAAUUCCUGGUGUAGCGGUGAAAUUCGUAGAUAUCGGGAGGAACACCUGUGGCGAAGGCGGCCAUCUGGACGGCAAUUGACGCUGAGACGCGAAAGCGUGGGUAGCAAACAGG
rnacentral:rRNA from 1 species